AUAAGCGGAGGAAAAGAAACCAACAGGGAUUGCCUUAGUAACGGCGAGUGAAGCGGCAACAGCUCAAAUUUGAAAUCUGGCCCUCGGGUCCGAAUUGUAAUUUGUAGAGGAUGAUUUUGGUGCGGUAUCUUCCGAGUUCCUUGGAACAGGACGCCUUAGAGGGUGAGAGCCCCGUACGGUUGAAUGCCUAGCCUCUGUAAAUCUCCUUCGACGAGUCGAGUAGUUUGGGAAUGCUGCUCUAAAUGGGAGGUAAAUUUCUUCUAAAGCUAAAUAUUGGCCAGAGACCGAUAGCGCACAAGUAGAGUGAUCGAAAGAUGAAAAGCACUUUGAAAAGAGGGUUAAAUAGCACGUGAAAUUGUUGAAAGGGAAGGAUUUGUGACCAGACUUUUUCUGGGCGGAUCAUCCGGGGUUCUCUCCGGUGCACUUUGCCCAGUAAAGGCCAGCAUCGAUUUUCGGCGGCGGAUAAAAGCAGUGGGAAUGUGGCUCCCUACGGGGAGUGUUAUAGCCCAUUGUAUAAUACGCUGCUGGGGAUCGAGGUACGCGCUUCUGCAAGGAUGCUGGCGUAAUGGUUAUCAAUCACCCGUCUUGAAACACGGACCAAGGAGUCGAACAUUUAUGCGAGUGUUUGGGUGUUAAACCCUCACGCGUAAUGAAAGUGAACGGAGGUGAGAGCCCGUACGGGUGCAUCAUCGACCGAUCCUGAAGUUUUCGGAUGGAUUUGAGUAAGAGCAUAACUGUUCGGACCCGAAAGAUGGUGAACUAUGCGUGGAUAGGGUGAAGCCAGAGGAAACUCUGGUGGAGGCUCGCAGCGGUUCUGACGUGCAAAUCGAUCGUCAAAUCUGCGCAUGGGGGCGAAAGACUAAUCGAACCAUCUAGUAGCUGGUUAC
rnacentral:rRNA from 1 species